rnacentral:rRNA from 1 species
UACGUAGGGUGCGAGCGUUCUCCGGAAUUAUUGGGCGUAAAGGGCUCGUAGGCGGUUUGUCGCGUCGGGAGUGAAAACCCAGGGCUUAACCCUGGGCUGGCUUCCGAUACGGGCAGACUAGAGGUAUGCAGGGGAGAACGGAAUUCCUGGUGUAGCGGUGAAAUGCGUAGAGAUCCGGAGGAACACCAGUGGCGAAGGCGACACGCUGGGCCAUACCUGACGCUAAGGCGCGAAAGCCAGGGGAGCAAACGGG